rnacentral:lncRNA from 1 species
UUGUUUUUUUAAUUCAUUGAGCAAUGACAGAUUAAGAACGAUUCAAAUGUGGACAUUAUUUUCCUUUUCAGGUUGCCUUGCUCUCCCCAAGUUAAAUUUGCAGUUUCUGACUCUUCAUGACUAUCUCCUAAGGAAUUUUAAUCUCUUCCGCUUAGAAUCAACUUACGAAAUUAGGCAAGACAUUGAGGAUAGCGUCAGCAGAAUGAAGCCGUGGCAGUCUGAGUACGGUGGUGUAGUGUUUGGCGGCUGGGCACGGAUGGCGCAGCCCAUCGUGGCUUUCACUGUAGUUGAGGUUGCCAAACCCAACAUUGGUGAAAACUGGCCAACCCGAGUUCGUGCAGAUGUCACCAUCAAUCUGAAUGUCAGAGAUCACAUCAAAGAUGAAUGGGAAGGUCUUCGUAAACAUGAUGUGUGCUUUUUGAUUACUGUACGUCCCACAAAACCUUACGGAACUAAAUUUGACCGCAGGAGACCUUUUAUUGAGCAGGUUGGCCUGGUGUAUGUCCGAGGCUGUGAAAUCCAGGGCAUGUUGGAUGAUAAAGGGCGUGUCAUUGAAGACGGACCUGAACCUAGACCUAAUCUUAGAGGAGAAUCAAGGACAUUUCGAGUGUUUUUGGAUCCAAACCAGUAUCAGCAGGAUAUGACCAAUACUAUACAGAAUGGAGCAGAAGAUGUGUAUGACACUUUUAAUAUAAUAAUGAGGAGGAAACCAAAGGAAAAUAACUUCAAGGUAAUUUUCAGGCCGCAUUACUGAAAGUAUAUAUUUCAUAAUUUAAAUAAACUUUUUUAAGUAAUCUUAA